rnacentral:rRNA from 1 species
GGUACAGGGUGAUAGUCCCGUACACCAAAAUGCACAGGCUGUGAACUCGAAGAGUAGGGCGGGACACGUGGUAUCCUGUCUGAAUAUGGGGGGACCAUCCUCCAAGGCUAAAUACUCCUGACUGACCGAUAGUGAACCAGUACCGUGAGGGAAAGGCGAAAAGAACCCCGGCGAGGGGAGUGAAAAAGAACCUGAAACCGUGUACGUACAAGCAGUGGGAGCACCUUCGGGUGUGACUGCGUACCUUUUGUAUAAUGGGUCAGCGACUUAUAUUCUGUAGCAAGGUUAACCGUAUAGGGGAGCCGCAGGGAAACCGAGUCUUAACUGGGCGUUAAGUUGCAGGGUAUAGACCCGAAACCCGGUGAUCUAGCCAUGGGCAGGUUGAAGGUUGGGUAACACUAACUGGAGGACCGAACCGACUAAUGUUGAAAAAUUAGCGGAUGACUUGUGGCUGGGGGUGAAAGGCCAAUCAAACCGGGAGAUAGCUGGUUCUCCCCGAAAGCUAUUUAGGUAGCGCCUCGUGAACUCAUCUUCGGGGGUAGAGCACUGUUUCGGCUAGGGGGUCAUCCCGACUUACCAACCCGAUGCAAACUACGAAUACCGAAGAAUGUUAUCACGGGAGACACACGGCGGGUGCUAACGUCCGUCGUGAAGAGGGAAACAACCCAGACCGCCAGCUAAGGUCCCAAAGUCAUGGUUAAGUGGGAAACGAUGUGGGAAGGCACAGACAGCCAGGAUGUUGGCUUAGAAGCAGCCAUCAUUUAAAGAAAGCGUAAUAGCUCACUGGUCGAGUCGGCCUGCGCGGAAGAUGUAACGGGGCUAAACCAUGCACCGAAGCUGCGGCAGCGACACUAUGUGUUGUUGGGUAGGGGAGCGUUCUGUAAGCCUGCGAAGGUGUGCUGUGAGGCAUGCUGGAGGUAUCAGAAGUGCGAAUGCUGACAUAAGUAACGAUAAAGCGGGUGAAAAGCCCGCUCGCCGGAAGACCAAGGGUUCCUGUCCAACGUUAAUCGGGGCAGGGUGAGUCGACCCCUAAGGCGAGGCCGAAAGGCGUAGUCGAUGGGAAACAGGUUAAUAUUCCUGUACUUGGUGUUACUGCGAAGGGGGGACGGAGAAGGCUAUGUUAGCCGGGCGACGGUUGUCCCGGUUUAAGCAUGUAGGCUGGUUAUCCAGGCAAAUCCGGAUAAUCAAGGCUGAGGUGUGAUGACGAGGCACUACGGUGCUGAAGUAACAAAUGCCCUGCUUCCAGGAAAAGCCUCUAAGCAUCAGGUAACAUCAAAUCGUACCCCAAACCGACACAGGUGGUCAGGUAGAGAAUACCAAGGCGCUUGAGAGAACUCGGGUGAAGGAACUAGGCAAAAUGGUGCCGUAACUUCGGGAGAAGGCACGCUGGUGUGUAGGUG